CGGCGAUGGGUGGCCUGCCGGCGGGUCCCACCGGCGCCUUUAGCGCCGUGUUUGUUCGCGGGGGGCUGGGGGGGAAAGGCCGCCGUCGGCACGGCUGACAUUUGCCAUGCGCGAACAACAUGCACUUCAGCAAACAACUCAACCUUUCCGCAUCCCGGCAGCCUGCCGGACUUGCUGGCUUAUUUUUCUCCUCUUUCUUCGCUUGUUUAUAACUGACGCUAUCUCGCCUGCACCGCUCCCUCAAUUUCAUUAUCUCUUCCUCCCCAGGCGGCCCGUAUCUCUCCUUCCUUCGGCAGAGUUUCUCUCUGCGCUUGCUUCAGCUCCUUCCCCUCCUCUUCCCAGCUCCCCAUCCCUCACCCUUGCUCACAGGUGAGCCUUUCCCAGCUGGCUGCCUGCAAAGCACUCGACUCCAGCGGACCUUCCUUCAGCGGCGCUUCUUACCCAGCAGUGAGCCCCUUAUCCUCUGAAGACGGGGCCAUUCAGAUGAUGAAUCUAUUUAAUCUGCAGGAUUAAAUAAAUACGACAACUUCCAAGGUUUCAAAGAUAUUGUAGAAGUUUGGUGGAAAAAAGGAAAAAAGUUUUUUACCUCAAUGGCAAAGAAUUUAAGCUUUUGUUCACUGGUUCGAAGGACAGUGAAGUGGGACCGAAGAAGGCAUCUGACUUGUGAAAAUCCUCCUUUGAAGAGCACCAAGAUUACCUUUGAUAUCUUUUCCAUAUGAAGCCACGGAUGCUGGGUAAGUGGUGCAUUCUUCUCACUUCCUUGGGGUAGCCAGGUUGGUUUUGUGUUCUGUAUUUUCACCCUUCCGAAGUUGCAGCUGAAAUUAUUCAUAUUACUGACACGAUUUCAUAUCCCAGAUGAGAUGCACAGAUAAAAUAAGCGAGUAAGCAGUAGAAGAUCUUUUUAUGUGACUGGGACCUCAAGAGGGAGGAUAAAACCUGGCCCAGCUGAGUGGGAAUCACUGGCUCCCAUAGGACUAGGAUUUUUCUUGCAGGCUUUAUGGUUGUCUCAUUCGAGUGGUCUUCUACACUGAAAGCAAUGCAGACUAUACCACUUACUUGGCAAAAUGUGUGCCACCAGGAGGUGGUUUCACUCAAACAUACAUUUCUGUAAGAUGAAGACAAACUUAAAAUUUAUUGCUUAUUCCAUUCAUAACCAAAAGUUCUCCUGGCUUGCCAAGCUGCUGAAUCAGCUCGGGUACCUCACCCUUGAGUCAGCAAAGCCUGAAAUAGAAACUUGCUCUGUUUCCGAAGAAAGGAAGUACCGCUGUUGUCUGCAAAUACAGCCACAUCUAACGUGCUUUCAUAACUACGAACACUUGGUGGAGAAACUUGCAUGACACUCUGCUUUUUAAUUAAAAAAAAAAAAAAAAAAAGUGGGGGUGAAAAAAGGCUGUUAAGCUUGCUAUGAAUGGGGCUGUCUGGGCAUGGAAGAACCAAGGAAUAAACAGCACAGCAAGAGAAGGGCUUUACCAGUGGCAGUCACUGAUGUCACCUAGACUAGCCCAGCAUCAAGUUCCCACUCCAUCUACUUGCAGCUUCUCAGGACAUUCAAAUUAGGGAGACAAGGCUAUUAGGCUACAACCAGGCUAAAGCAAAGUCUUAAGCCAUUAAGAACUGAUGGCAAGAAGACAGGAUAGAAGCUAUAAAACACUGACUGGAGAUCAGCUACAGCGGUGCUCAUCCAGGAUUCCCAAAGUAGAGUUGAAUCACUCUCGCUGCCAUGCUGCGACUCCACUUUAUAGCCCAGCAUAAAAUAGCAAAAAACAGUGAAAAUGACCAACAGUUGCAGUCAAAUAGUGGGAAGUGACACUGUAAAGUCAUCAGCAGGACUUUUGUGAGUAGGUGGAAGGCAGUGAAAAGGCAUGUAAAAAUAGUCCCUAUGUGAUAUAAAUUAGGGAGGAGUUUCUGUGGUUCCAAGUCAGGCCAAGAAGGAGAAAAAUAAUCAUAGUGUUAACUUGCCCGUUCUCCCCUUCUCAAGUUGUUCAGUUUUUUAUCUUGCAGAUGUAGCAUCAGUAAUUUUUAGCAUUGUACAAAAGGACGCCCAUUAAAAAUAAAGUUUCAGGGGGCUGCCAAGCAGAUGCUUGUUGUGUGCCACCUUCCCAUGAGUGGUCCUUCAUGUGUGGUGCAGGACAGUCUCAUGUUCUUCCUGCUCCAAGCAAAUGACUGCUGCUGGCGCUUCGAUGAGAAGUCUUCUGAACUGGCUUUACCUUCCAUAAAGAGCAGGCCAUUCUGACGGGCAAAACCAGUAACGCCUUUCAAACCCUGAGCAGAUGAGAUGUGCAGCUAUUACUGGCCUGGGAGGAAAAAAACCCUUUGCCUUAGAGAAAGUCCAGAUGUAUUUUACAUCCUCUGGAAACUUUUCCUCCAUCUCCUCUGAAGGAAGGGCUGGAUGCCCACAUGCUGUUCUUCUGUGCUGCAACGUGACCUGCUCCCCUCUAGCUGUGAAGAUCUUGUACAUGCUCCUUUACCUGUGUAACAUCAUACUUACAUGAUCUUGCAAAAUAAGGUUUUGAAGCCAACAGUAUAGAGAAACAGAAAAUUUUUCUAUUCUCACAGCUCAGUUAUUUAGACAUCCUGUCUUCAUAGCACAGUUUCUGUGGGAAGAUCCUGAUGGAUAGGGGAGUUCUCUUUUAUGGGAGCAGCAAAAGAACCCUCAGAAUGAAAUUAUUCUAAACUAGUCUAACUAUUCAGAGCUAAACUAGCCUAAUCUAUUCGUAUAACCUUGCAGGCAAGUUUCCUCCUAGGGUGACACUUCAUACGGGAUUUUCCUGCAGUACUAUGGAGGAAACGAUAGAGUUGGAAAAAUUGUCAUUUCUGCAAUGGGUAUGAAUGUUGCAACACACAAUUUUACCAUUUUCUGAUUUUUGCAACACUGCAGUUGCAAAUUGCAACACAUUUUAUAUUUAGUGUUUUGGAUUAUUCAACCAAAAAGAGGUGGGGAUGAGACUUUACCAGCACAAUUACAGGCUUAUGCAAUCAUCUGGUGCACAUGCUGCAGGUUUGGAAGAAAGACCUGCUGCAAAUCCACAGAAAACCCUAGCUGGGGGACUGUAAGUGCUGCAGGGAAUUACACGAUGUGAAACUUAGUGAAACAUUUGCUAUGUGUGCACCAAGCGCUUUUUAAAUUUGGGUUUCUGGGGAGAAGAGAAUUGCUGUGGCAUUUCUGUGACUUGAUCCCUUGUCUCUCUUGAUCUGCGACAGAAAGGUGACCCCGAGUGCUGCUGAGCUGGGAACGGAGAUGGGGACAGCCAUCGCCGCCUGAGCUGAGCAUUCGCUUGGAGAGUAACAGAGCGUUCCCAACCACAUCCCGGAAUAGAUUCACUUUCUCAUCCCCUGGCUCAGGCUGUCACAAUAAAGGGUAGAAAAGAGCAUUCUUCUUGGCUAUACCUGGGAUUUCACCUGCAUGGCUGCAACUCCCAUGCUGUCUAGGAAUAUAGAUGACCUCCACUACUCCCAACUGGAGCAGAUAUAUCAGAGCAGUUCAGCAAUGAUGUGGCAAGUGUGAAGUGGAAGGCAUUGAAAAAGUAUUAUAUCGAUUUUUAGUUUGUAUUUAAGAGGGUUUCUACACACUUGUGUUCUAUAAGCCCAGAAAGAGUAUGCUUCUGACUGCAAACACAGGAACCAGUCAUUAUUUCAAUUUAUUGCUGUGGUCAUAGGAUUAAGCCUUUGAUUAGAGAAGAACAAAUUAUACAGAGUAAUUUGACCCCUGGUAUGUUAGUGUGGUGACUGCAAUUGGGGUGGCCCAACGCAGUCCACUGAUUCUACUGCUAGGUGAUAUAUUUAGCUUUUGUGUUGAUUAAAAACUGAUUUAAUUCUAAACUGGUCGCUGCUGCACUUCACACUUUAUAACUUAAAGGUUUUAUUUACACUGCACAAAGAAAAGGCUACAGUAAAAGAUUAUUGCUGGGGCUUCAGAAUCAAGUACUUAAAAAUUACAAAAGGCAACAUUAAUUUUAGCAUUUUGACAUUCUUAAAUAAUAUCCAUGGAGUGCUUGAUGCUAGCUGAGUAUUCAGGACUUUUGCUGGGCUAUUGAUGGUCCGUGAGUGCAAAAUAGCAGCAAACAGCUUCCAAACAAUCAUGUUUAAAGCUGAGCAUGAAUGCAUGUUUCUGCCACGCACCCAGUUCUGUUUCCAGGGAACAAGAUGGGAAGAAAAUGUUGCUGAAAACACUAAUACAUAACACUUUGGCAGAGAUGGUUAUCACAUCUCCUAGUCAUUUUUACCUAUGUUGCUGCCCUGACAACUGUGGUAUAUUAUGGAAAUAAAAUGUGAAGUCACUCAGGUCUGAGUUCUGCUCUUUGUGGAGUAGACAAAUACAUUCGGUACCUUUUGAUUGAGGUAAGAGAAAGUGCACGCUUCUGCAGUGAAGGACAAAUACCAGCCCCGGGGUACUGAAAACACAGCAAAUAUUUGUUAAAAAGGUGAGUUAGGGGCAAAACAAAGUGGCAUAUAGCAUGCAAUGAAAGGUUGUCGCGGGAGAAAUCCAAUUCAAUCCAGCAAUUAUUGGCUAGAUGCAAUCAAGAUUUAGGAAUGGGGCUCUAAUCCUUUUAUAAACCAGGAACCUGCUUGAAUUGGGUAAUGGGAGUUCUGACAGUCACACUCGAUAAGCAAAAAUCAACUAACCCUCGUGCUUCGUGGCACGCACUAAACUCUUAAUGACAGUCAGGAAAAAACAUAACCCAUCACUGGAUUUUUGGUAAUUUCCCACCAAAGGUUUCCUCCAGGCUGCAGCUUUCGGAGGCUUUGCAUGAUUUGUACCUGAGAGAACUGCUCAGAUUUUGUGUUUUGAUAGAUUUAGACAGCCGAGUUAUUUACUGAAGGAUACCUCUGAAAGGGAAUUUGGUGUAGACUGAGUUGGCUGCUGUGCUACUAUGUGUGACCCCAUCUUGUCACUGUACGCCUGAAACUGUCCCACAUAUUGUCUGUCAAUUUGGUAAAUUAUUUCCUAGAACACUUAGAAAACAAAACAAGGAGCUGAAAAUGCCUCUCAGUAUUUCUUCAGUCCAAACAAACAACAAGCAGGUUGUGUGUUCUACGUGUCUAGCCAAAACAUCUCAGUUAUUAAUUUUAAACUCCUGGGUGCCUGGAGAACCCGAUCCUGAAUAAGCUACAAAGCUGAAGCAUGGCUGAAAAUAUAUAAAAAAAAAUAUUCCACCAUCUUCAGCUAAUGUUUCUGCAAGGUAGCAAGAACAACCUCCCCUCUCCCCUGUAAUGACAGGGCAUGCCGCACAGCAGCAGAUGUACCAUUGCACUGGUGUGUGGCAAACAUGCGGUGCUCACCGCCUGUGCUCGCGCUUCCCUCGAGGGCUCAGUGUCUCAAACCCAGACAGCCUGGUCCUCUGCAAGGACUGCCAAAGGACGUUACACGCUCCUGCGAAUCCCUGCAGUGGUUUCGGGAGGCAAAGACAAGUGGCCGUAGAGAGAGAAAAGGCUCUGGCCAUAAACCGGGAAAGUGGGGGCUGAGAAGCAAAUUUGUUGUGCUAAGUAAGUGGCUUUUUCCCAUCUGCUCAUUUCUCCUCUUUUACUGUUCUCA